AGAGGAAGAAAGAACUGUUAAAGUACUUUCUGGAAGAGCAUCGGUAGCCAUGUUGGUAAAGUUUUCAUCGAUAAACUCUUGUAUCUGAGUAGGAAAAUCAAGAAAAUUCAAUGACAAAAAGAGCAAUACAAACGCUUAAAUAUUGUUAAAUGUCCCCGUCAACAUUAGAAAGGGAAGUGUAUAGUAAAACCGGUAAAAUAACUGUUGGUUCACUGUUCGACAGUUUGCACGCCGCCAUGUUGGAAAAGCAGCUGAGUGCCAUCCACAUAAGUGACAUUACAGAGUGGGCGAAAGUGUGAAAUUAGAAAAACAGCUUUUAAACUCACUGGACUAGACAUGUAGGCCAUCCCAAGCAUCAUUUCAGAAGAAAAACAAGAACGUUUAGCUUAAAAGACGUGCAAUUGUCAAAAACCCAGUGAAAAUUCAACGGAUGGACUAUCUUCGUUCUAAAAGAUCAUGGGAAAAGAUGUUUAAAAAGUAAGAAAACUGGAGGAGAAAGCUAUUGGAGGCCAAAGAACAUUGGACGCUUGAAGAGACUUGAACAAGUUGAACUUAUUCGUGCUGUCGCGCAAGUGAUGUACUUGUGAAGCGAGCGAGCUGCAAACAAGAUGGCUGCGAGCUAACAUGCAUGGAAAAUACUCUAAAAUAUCCCGAAAACAACCCAUUUAAACGGUAUUAUUAAAAAUACAUUCUUCAUGAA